rnacentral:rRNA from 1 species
ACCCUGCACUUACAAGCUGUGGAAGCACAUUUCUUGUGUGACCGCGUACUUUUUGUAGAACGGGCCAACGAGUUACGUUAAGUAGCAAGGUUAAGCACUUAAGGUGCGGAGCCGUAGCGAAAGCGAGGUUUAACUGAGCGUUCAGUUACUUGACGUAGACCCGAAACCGGGCGACCUACCCAUGAGCAGGAGGAAGCGAAAGUAAAAUUUCGUGGAGGUCCGAACCCACGGGCGUUGAAAAGCUCGGGGAUGACUUGUGGGUAGCGGUGAAAUUCCAAUCGAGCCCGGAGAUAGCUGGUUCUCCCCGAAAUAGCUUUAGGGCUAGCCUCAAGGUGAGAGAUACGGAGGUAGAGCACUGAAUGUCCUAGGGGGUAUUGCACCUACCGAAGACUAUCAAACUCCGAAUGCCGUCAUCUUAUACUUGGGAGUCAGACUGUGGGUGAUAAGAUUCAUAGUCGAAAGGGCAACAGCCCAGAUCGUCAGCUAAGGUCCCUAAAUGUAAGUUAAGUGGUAAAGGAUGUGGGAUUGCACAGACAACCAGGAUGUUGGCUUAGAAGCAGCCACUCAUUCAAAGAGUGCGUAAUAGCUCACUGGUCGAGUGAUCCUGCGCCGAAGAUUUCCGGGGCUAAAACUUACUACCGAAGCUACGGCAUCAGUAAUGAUGGGUAGGGGAGCUUCCCAUACGGGUUGAAGCAUGACCGUAAGGACAUGUGGACAGUAUGGGAGUGAGAAUGUUGGCAUGAGUAGCGAGAUGUGGGUG